rnacentral:rRNA from 1 species
CCUACGGGAGGCAGCAGUGGGGAAUAUUGGGCAAUGGGCGCAAGCCUGACCCAGCAACGCCGCGUGAAGGAAGAAGGCUUUCGGGUUGUAAACUUCUUUUCUCAGGGACGAAGCAAGUGACGGUACCUGAGGAAUAAGCCACGGCUAACUACGUGCCAGCAGCCGCGGUCAUACGUAGGUGGCAAGCGUUAUCCGGAUUUACUGGGUGUAAAGGGCGUGUAGGCGGGUACGCAAGACAGGUGUGAAAACCAUGGGCUCAACCUGUGGCCUGCAUUUGAAACUGUGUUUCUUGAGUACUGGAGAGGCAGACGGAAUGCCUAGUGUAGCGGUGAAAUGCGUAGAUAUUAGGAGGAACACCAGGGGCGAAGGCGGUCUGCUGGACAGCAACUGACGCUGAGGCGCGAAAGCGUGGGGAGCAAACAGGAUUAGAUACCCGGGUAGUC